GGGAAAGUGGCUCAGUGGUAGAGCACUUGCCUUGCAUGCAGGAGGCCCUGGGUUCGAUUCCUCAGCACCA
rnacentral:tRNA from 1 species